rnacentral:lncRNA from 1 species
UGGGGGACAUAGAGGCCAGGUAGAACAGCUCGCAGCUACAGAUGGUGUCUAAUGUAAGGCAUUGACUCCAAGUUUACAACAAAAUGAUUCAGGCAUGGGAGCCAGACCAGAAGUCAGGCAGUUGUAAGCUAGCUGGACAGGCCUGGCCUUUUAAGAAAAGAAAGGAGCAAAGCCAGAAGCGGAGACAAGAAAAGGCUUCACUCUGCAGUCUCUCUUGGACCUGAGCUUCAGGUCACACAGUAGCUAUGGCUUCUCCCAAGCCUGGCACGGUUUCAGAGAAAGAUUGAUUAGUGGGAUAAAGAGAGCUGGUGACCCAAUUUGGGUCCACUCGGGAAAAGACUACAAGUGCCCAGAGAAACAGACCAACCCAAGGGAGGAAGAGCAACGGCAGCUUGUUAGACCGAGUUAAGGGGGCAGAGUUAGCCACUACAGACACAUGCUGGCCUGACGCCCUGCAGAUUUUCCCGGAUCUGCAAUGGAACUAAAAAGUCCCAAACUUCUGAAGUGGUCCUCUCCUGACAGGACCUCCUUUCUACUUCAAAGAGGACAGUUAGCAUCGAAGAACCACCUUGUGGAGUUUGCUUCAAAAGUGGAAACUGCCCUUGGUUCAACUGCUGACAGUAUGCUGUCCAAACGGGACAGACGAGAUGCAGGGAAGUUGGCUGCUGAGCCUUGCUUACCAAGACAGGUCCUUCCUUCAAGAGUGCUCACAUAAGAACAUCCACAAUAGAAGACAGAAGCUACUUUGGGGUUCUCAGAAGACAUGGGCUAGCUGCUUCUCCUCACCUUCCAGUGCAGUGAGCAGCCGUCAGCACAAAGUAGUCUUGAACCAGGAAGCCUCCACAGGAAUGUCUUUUUCCAUUAUCUUUCACAAACCUCACACGUGCCAUGUAAGGGCGGGAGUGGGGCUUGACCUCAUGGCCCCCGAUGAUCUCCUCUGAAAGUUAGGAAGGAGGCUAAAUUAUGGGGUUGUCUGGGGAAGCAGAGGAGAUCAAGGAAGGCAGUGAUUGGGAGCUGUGGUCCCCCAAGCCUGUUGUAGACAGGAUUCCUUGCACGUGGAAUAAUCUUUGCUGUCUUUGAAGCCUCAGAACCCUGCUCUGAGAAGGAGCAGGUAGCACAUGUCAUACAUAUCUAAACUCCCAUGCCAUAUUUCAUAGGCUUAGAAAAAUAACAGAAGAAUUCAUAUGGAAUCACAAAGACCAUAAAUACCAAAGCAGCUUCAAGGAAUAAGAACAUUGCUGGAAAUGUGACAAUAUCUCACCUUAAAUUAUACUACAGAGCCAUAGUGAUGAGGCAGCCUGUUGCAAAAAUAGACAGAGACAAAUGGGAUAGAACAGAGGUUGUGGACAUAAAGAGGCAAAGAAUUACUAACUUAACUGUUGUCAAGGAGGAAAAACAUACAAGCAAGCAAAAAAAAAAACUUAAAAAAUUUUUCAACAAAUGCUGCUGGCAAAACUGGAUAUCGAACAUCAGAGGAAUGAAUUUACAUUCUUAUCCUUCACCUUGUGCAACAAAUGUAGGCAUGAUGUUAUUGUACACGGUACAAAGCUAAUUCUUGUAUUAUCCAAAUUUUGAUACCUGUGCCCCCAUAUCUGAUUAAAAUCAUUAUUGUG